GAGAAGAGAAAGUCCGAGGUCAAGGCCACAGGCACAGAGAAGAAACGGGUACCCCACACGGGAAGGGCAAGAGUAAGUAGGAAGGCCUUGCUGCUUACACCCUCAACGAGCCCAUUUCAGGACAGCCUCAUCUACACGACUCUCCUGGUCUAUCAUUCCGGAGUGUGCCCUCCCACGGCACGGCUCUGAGGGGGCUUUCAAUGACAGGGACCCUUGGUUUCUCUUGCAUUGAGAGCAUUUCAGCUCCAGAGACCGCACUCUGCAGGAUGACCAUCACAAUGAGUGUGAAUCACGAGCACACUCACUCAGUACAAAGCUGGUGCCUCUGCCGUGUCUGAAGAGCAGUCUGGACUUAUGAGAUGUUUUCACUUCAUUUUCAAUUAGAGGUAGAGACAGAGGCACCCAGAACUGGAAGGCUCGAACACCACAUGGUGAAUAGAUUUGAAUACCACGUCUUCCUCUGGUUUUCUAUAGGGCAUGUGCUCACUGGAAAGGGAGAUAUACAGAAAAACACUCCUCCCUCCAGAGGGGAUGGCCAUACUGCAAUUUCUUCUUCA